rnacentral:lncRNA from 1 species
AGAAAAUGUAUUUUGGCCAGGCAUUAUAGUAUCAGUAAUUCCCUUUGGAAACCAAAUUUCCACUCUGUCAUCGUGCCUCUGAUGAUUAAGAACUGAGUCAGUUGAACGUGAUGCCUCUGGAAUGCCAACUGGCUGUGGAAAUGUGAAGAAGCCUGUGUGGUCACUGACACUUGAGCAGCACCCACAGCCCUGAAGAAAGGGCCAUCCCAAGAACACUUCCUGGGUGCUGUGUGAUGUCACAACCAGGUAGAGCACUGCUACUACUCUAAAAGGAAAAGAAUGUGGCUCCACCUUGCCAGGAAGAGGAAUCCGGCCAGCUUCCCACGGGCAAUUCUUUCAAGGACUUUCUAAAAACAGGGAAGACAAGGAGACUGCCUGGAAUGAUCUAUCACCUGAUCCCAUUGUGAUUUUAUAAGAGGAAAGUGCUUCUUUUCCAAGAACUCUUGAUAUUACUAUAGAACUGCUGUCACAUGUUGGCCACAUGACCCCAACACCACUUCCAACUGUUUGACCUGUUCCUGCCAAUUAUUGUUAUGCCUUCACACAGGUAAACAAGGAAACAUUUGCAGCCCAUGCAGAUAAAAGGAGGAGGAGGAGAAGGAAGAAAAGGAGGACUAGCAGAAGGAAGAAGAGAAGAAGAAGGACAAGAAGAAGAUGAAAUGGAGGAGGAAGAGGGGAAGGAGGAGGAAAAGUCCUUUAGUGGAUACAAUUCCUUAAGACGAACUUUCCUUCAAAGAGGAAAUUUCCUCAUCUAUAAAAUGAAGAGGUUGCAUGAAAUCAACAGGGGAUAUGUUUCAUCAAUCAAAAUCUCAUGCGAAG